GGGGAUUUAGCUCAGUGGUAGAGCGCUUGCCUAGCAAGCUCAAGGCCCUGGGUUCAGUCUCCA
rnacentral:tRNA from 1 species